GACGAACGCUGGCGGCGUGCCUAAUACAUGCAAGUCGAACGCACAGUUUAUACCGUAGCUUGCUCCACCAUAGACUGUGAGUUGCGAACGGGUGAGUAACGCGUAGGUAACCUGCCUGGUAGCGGGGGAUAACUAUUGGAAACGAUAGCUAAUACCGCAUAAUAUUAAUUAUUGCAUGAUAAUUAAUUGAAAGGUGCAAUUGCACCACUACCAGAUGGACCUGCGUUGUAUUAGCUAGUAGGUGAGGUAACGGCUCACCUAGGCGACGAUACAUAGCCGACCUGAGAGGGUGAUCGGCCACACUGGGACUGAGACACGGCCCAGACUCCUACGGGAGGCAGCAGGAGGGAAUCUUCGGCAAUGGACGAAAGUCUGACCGAGCAACGCCGCGUGAGUGAAGAAGGGUUUCGGAUCGUAAAGCUCGGUUGUAAGAGAAGAACGGGUGUGAGAGUGGAAAGUUCACACUGUGACGGUAGCUUACCAGAAAGGGACGGCUAACUACGUG
rnacentral:rRNA from 1 species